rnacentral:misc_RNA from 1 species
GAUGAAGAACGCAGCGAAAUGCGAUAAGUAAUGUGAAUUGCAGAAUUCAGUGAAUCAUCGAAUCUUUGAACGCACCUUGCACCCUUUGGCAUUCCGAAGGGUAUGCUCGUUUGAGUGUCAUUGUACUCUCACACUUCUGAUCCUUUGGAUUGGGAGCGGUGGACUUGGGUGUUGCUGCUUUACUGUGGCUCACCUCAAAUGCAUUCGUGCAACUCUUGGUUGGACAUAGUACGGCGUGAUAAGUAUCUUCGCCGGCACCUCGCAAGAGGGUGGCUGAUCAGGAGCUCUGUGCUUUCCAACUGUCUUCAGACAACAACUGACAACUCGACCUCAAAUCGAGUAGGACCACCCGCUGAACUUAAGCAUAUCAAUAAGCGGAGGA